rnacentral:lncRNA from 1 species
CCAAACAGACAGCGGCUGCAAACACUUUCUUGUCUGUAUCUGCUGGAGUUCACGUUUCAGCUGUGCUCUCAGCUCCACCCACUCCUCACCACUGCAGAUAAAACAACAGCUCGGAUUGACAAGCUGACAAGUUUUGAAUUCAUGGCCGGUGGGCAAUAGAGCAUCCAACUCAAUAAAGCGCUUCUGGGAACACAUCAUCCUAAGUGAACUAGCAUAGCUGAAUUGUUUGGAGGAAAUUUCGCAACAGAAAAUUUUCAGAGUAACAGCAAUCCUGGCACUGUGAAGGUAAUACAGCCCGUAAGACUAGAAAAGAGCAAUGGCUUGCAAAAAGCCCCAAGGUCAUUUUCUAAUAAGCCAGAUAUUGUUACAUGGAUGGGUAAACAAUAGAUAUUUAUAGUUAAGUUUUCUUUCAGGUUGCUUAUCUAAAUCUCAGUCAAACCUCCUGGCACUAACUGAAUCAGGCCAGAAAUCCUGUAAAAAUCUCUUUAGUAUUUCUUUUGAUGGCAAUUACAGCCAGUGGAAGCCUGAGGUUUUUUUGGAUAUUGCACUCAGGCAGGGGUCUUAGAGUAACAGAGCAUUAGGAGAAAAUACACUAGAGGCCAAAAUCCUUAUGUGUCCUAACCUU